GACAGAGGUGCCAAGCGUUAGGCGGAAUCACUGGGCUUAAAGCGUGUGUAGGCGGAUCGUUAAGUACCUUGUGAAAUCCCACGGCUCAACCGUGGAACUGCUGGGUAUACUGGCGAUCUUGAGCCACCUAGGGGCGAGCGGAACAAACGGUGGAGCGGUGAAAUGCGUAGAUAUCGUUUGGAACGCCAACGGUGAAAACAGACUGCUGGGGGUGUGCUGACGCUGAGACACGAAAGCCAGGGGAGCAAACGGG
rnacentral:rRNA from 1 species